UGCGGGAUCGUCUAAUGGUAGGACAGUACCCUUUGAAGGUAUUUAUCGGGGUUCGAAUCCCUGUCCCGCAG
rnacentral:tRNA from 1 species